CGCCGCCACCGGAUGAAACGGACGGGCAGGAGAGCCGUGUUUGGGGCAGUGCGGCCUCCGAGACGACACCAAGUCACGGAGGUCAUCGGAGAGUUCCGCAGGACACUGAAGGCCGCCGUCAGAACACUGGCAGCCAGACGCCGGGAACUGCAGGACUACCCUUCAAGUUUAAGAGAGGAGGCCGCUGAACUGGAAGGAUAAUCCACCCUACAGAAGACAGAGGUUGGAGAGAAGAUGUGCCCACAGGUCGUGUUGGAGAGUGAUGUGGCCAGGGAAGAGCGCCUCAGCUGUGUCGAGUCCACCAGUAAGCAACUGCCCAGGUCGGCUCACAGCGGCGACGUCGCCCCUCUGGACAACUGCCAGUGGAGUGUGCAUUCUGCCGCCGUCUCGGCGAGACUCGAUCGUUUGCACGUACGCACAUACUGCGUGACCCCCUGACCAAUGCCGUGGUGUGCCCGAUCCUGCGCGAUUAUCGGUGCGAGAUAUGCGGUGCCACUGGUGAUAAGAGCCACACGCGAUCUUACUGCCCCAUGAGGCCAGAGGGCACGUAUAACAUGGCGCUUCUCAAGAGCACUCCCCGCAAUAGCACGAGCAAGAGAAAGAAAUGACUUUAUGGCUCUGUUCACGGGCUGCUGUGUGACGUGUUUUUUGUUCAUCAUGAUUUACACUUUAUACAUUAGCAUUUAUUUUCCUAAUCACUUUAUUACAACCCAAGUCUUUCCAUCACCACUGACUGGAUUUUGAUCUCUCAAUUUACUCUAUAUUGUAUUUACCAUUCAUUCCAGUACAAUCUUCCAGUUACCUUAACAGUGUUAUGUAUAUGUGCCCUAUGUGCCCAUGCUCUCCGACACUUCUAUUUUUUGUUGAGAACACCAGCACAAAAUUUUGGAAAACGUAGACAAAUAAAGAUGAACACAAUAGAGACCAAUG